GACGAACGCUGGCGGCGUGCUUAACACAUGCAAGUCGAACGGAAAGGCCCUGCUUUUGUGGGGUGCUCGAGUGGCGAACGGGUGAGUAACACGUGAGUAACCUGCCCUUGACUUUGGGAUAACUUCAGGAAACUGGGGCUAAUACCGGAUAGGAGCUCCUGCUGCAUGGUGGGGGUUGGAAAGUUUCGGCGGUUGGGGAUGGACUCGCGGCUUAUCAGCUUGUUGGUGGGGUAGUGGCUUACCAAGGCUUUGACGGGUAGCCGGCCUGAGAGGGUGACCGGGCACAUUGGGACUGGGGAACGGGCCAGACUCCUUCGGGGGGGAGGAGUGGGGAAUAUUUCACAAUGGGCGGAAGCCUGAUGCAGCAACGCCGCGUGCGGGAUGACGGCCUUCGGGUUGUAAACCGCUUUCGCCUGUGACGAAGCGUGAGUGACGGUAAUGGGUAAAGAAGCACCGGCGAACUACGU
rnacentral:rRNA from 1 species